rnacentral:rRNA from 1 species
GAUGAACGCUGGCGGCGUGCCUAAUACAUGCAAGUCGAGCGAACGGACGAGAAGCUUGCUUUUCUGAUGUUAGCGGCGGACGGGUGAGUAACACGUGGAUAACCUACCUAUAAGACUGGGAUAACUUCGGGAAACCGGCGCUAAUACCGGAUAAUAUUUUGAACCGCAUGGUUCAAAAGUGAAAGACGGUCUUGCUGUCACUUAUAGAUGGAUCCGCGCUGCAUUAGCUAGUUGGUAAGGUAACGGCUUACCAAGGCAACGAGGCGUAGCCGACCUGAGAGGGUGAUCGGCCACACUGGAACUGAGACGCGGUCCAGACGCCUACGGGAGGCAGCAGUAGGGAAUCUUCCGCAGUGGGCGAAAGCCUGACGGAGCAACGCCGCGUGAGUGAUAAAGGUCUUCGGAUCGUAAAACUCUGUUAUUAGGGAAGAACAGAUGUGUAAGUAACUGUGCACAUCUUGACGGUACCUGAUCAGAAAGCCACGGCUAACUACGUG